rnacentral:rRNA from 1 species
AUAAGAUAGCUUGCUAUUUUUAUGAGAGCGGCGAACGGGUGAGUAACGCGUGGGAAAUCUGCCGAGUAGCGGGGGACAACGUUUGGAAACGAACGCUAAUACCGCAUAACAAUGAGAAUCGCAUGAUUCUUAUUUAAAAGAAGCAAUUGCUUCACUACUUGAUGAUCCCGCGUUGUAUUAGCUAGUUGGUAGUGUAAAGGACUACCAAGGCGAUGAUACAUAGCCGACCUGAGAGGGUGAUCGGCCACACUGGGACUGAGACACGGCCCAGACUCCUACGGGAGGCAGCAGUAGGGAAUCUUCGGCAAUGGGGGCAACCCUGACCGAGCAACGCCGCGUGAGUGAAGAAGGUUUUCGGAUCGUAAAACUCUGUUGUUAGAGAAGAACGUUAAGUAGAGUGGAAAAUUACUUAAGUGACGGUAUCUAACCAGAAAGGGACGGCUAACUACGUGCCAGCAGCCGCGGUAAUACGUAGGUCCCAAGCGUUGUCCGGAUUUAUUGGAGCGUAAAGCGAGCGCAGGUGGUUUCUUAAGUCUGAUGUAAAAGGCAGUGGCUCAACCAUUGUGUGCAUUGGAAACUGGGAGACUUGAGUGCAGGAGAGGAGAGUGGAAUUCCAU